GUGGUGGCUCAGUGGUAGAGCACUUGCCUAGCAUGUGUGAGACCCUGAGUUGGAUCCUCAGCACCACG
rnacentral:tRNA from 1 species